CAGAAUCAUAUGUGCCUUUGAAGAGGAAGGAGGGUUGCUCUUAUUAGAAGGGCAGUGAGGUAACAAGCCUUCUAAGAUGGUCCCAGAUGAUCCCCACCACCUCCUGUAUCCAGGCCUUCUGUAAUUCCCUCCCCUUGAGUUUCUAUUCUACAGGUAAGAAAAUGGAAGCCUGGAGAGUUGAUGUGACUUGCUCAGGAUCACUUAUCAGGGAAGUGACAGUGCUGGGACACAAGCAAAGUGUGUCCACUCCACACAGCCCACGUGUCCACUCCACAAGGCCCACUCGUGCCUGCAGAUGGGGCCUGCAGAUGGGGCUGAAUCCAACGUGAGGCCUUCACGCGGGGAGGGCUGACCGGCUUGAUUGUACAGCUUUCAUAGAAUCACUCUGUUCUUUUU